AAUAAUUUUAUUGUUUCAAAGUUUCUACAAUAUUUUUUUUGUUGUAGAACAAUCACAAUAAUUUUCUCAAUCUAAAUGUAUCUUACAAUUCUUAAACUAAUAUUUCCACCGUCACCAACAACUAAACCCUAAUUUUAAAUCUUUAAACUCUAAACUUCUAGCAGCUUCGCUAAUCUUCAAUUUGACCAAUAUUGGAGCUAAAUCAAGAAUCCAAUUAUAAUUCCUGCUUGAAUUUUUUCUUACUUUGCAUUAAAUUUCAGUUUCAUUUAAAUAUAUAUAUAUAUAUAUAUAUAUAUAUAUAUAUAUAUAUAUAUAAUGAAAAGAAUUAGAUUCCAAUUAAGUAAGUCGCAUCGCAAGCAAGCAAGUAUUGUAUUGAAGAGGGAAAAAAACAAACCUGAAUUGUUUUCUCAAAAAGAGGUCUCAAUUUGCCUAAAAAUGAGAGUUAAUUUUAUCAAUAAGGAUACCAAAAUUUGAUAGUUCUCAGCGGUUGUAGUUUUCAGUGGACUGCUCCUCCUUCUCUGCAUUUGUUCUUUGAUUAUUGGUACUCUUUGGCGGAUAAGAAUUAUAGGUGUAUUUGGCAAGCUAUUCGGUUCUUUUUGGUUUGGGAGUUGUGAAAAGUUAGAAACAAGAGAUUAUUCAAGCACAAGUCGAUGGAAGCAGAUUCUCUUCUCCAUUUAGCUAUUUGCAGAGCGGUGUGAUGUUCUAUAAAGACAUUAUCUUGGGUUUUAUUUGUUCGGGCAUUGAUGUUUUUAGAAAUUUAGAUUUCUGUUGUCACGAUUUAUAGCUCUUUUGUCUUUUUCGGAAAGGUUUUGUCUUCCGCUA